AUUGAACGCUGGCGGCAGGCCUAACACAUGCAAGUCGGACGGUAGCACAGAGGAGCUUGCUCCUUGGGUGACGAGUGGCGGACGGGUGAGUAAUGUCUGGGGAUCUGCCCGAUAGAGGGGGAUAACCACUGGAAACGGUGGCUAAUACCGCAUAACGUCGCAAGACCAAAGAGGGGGACCUUCGGGCCUCGCACCAUCGGAUGAACCCAGAUGGGAUUAGCUAGUAGGCGGGGUAAUGGCCCACCUAGGCGACGAUCCCUAGCUGGUCUGAGAGGAUGACCAGCCACACUGGAACUGAGACACGGUCCAGACUCCUACGGGAGGCAGCAGUGGGGAAUAUUGCACAAUGGGCGCAAGCCUGAUGCAGCCAUGCCGCGUGUAUGAAGAAGGCCUUCGGGUUGUAAAGUACUUUCAGCGGGGAGGAAGGCGGUGAGGUUAAUAACCUCACCGAUUGACGUUACCCGCAGAAGAAGCACCGGCUAACUCCGUGCCAGCCGCCGCAGUAA
rnacentral:rRNA from 1 species